GAUGAAGAACGUAGUGAAAUGCGAUAAGUAAUGCGAAUUGCAGAAUUUCCGUGAGUCAUCGAAUCUUUGAACGCACAUUGCGCCCACUGGUAUUCCGGUGGGCAUGCCUGUUCGAGCGUCAUUAUCCUCCCUCAAACCUCGGGUUUGGUGUUGGACCCAAGUUGUGUGAACAACUGGUCUCAAAGACAAUGACGGCGUCCGUGGGACCCUCGGUGCAACGAGCUUUUAGGAGCACGCGUCGAGUUUCAAGGACCUUCCGGGCCGGUCUCCUUUACUAUUUUUACAAGGUUGACCUCGGAUCAGGUAGGAAUACCCGCUGAACUUAAGCAUAUCAAUAAGCGGAGGA
rnacentral:misc_RNA from 1 species